rnacentral:rRNA from 1 species
UGGGGAAUAUUGUACAAUGGGCGCAAGCCUGAUGCAGCCAUGCCGCGUGUGUGAAGAAGGCCUUCGGGUUGUAAAGCACUUUCAGCGAGGAGGAAGGGUAGUGUGUUAAUAGCACAUUGCAUUGACGUUACUCGCAGAAGAAGCACCGGCUAACUCCGUGCCAGCAGCCGCGGUAAUACGGAGGGUGCAAGCGUUAAUCGGAAUUACUGGGCGUAAAGCGCACGCAGGCGGUUUGUUAAGUCAGAUGUGAAAUCCCCGCGCUUAACGUGGGAACUGCAUUUGAAACUGGCAAGCUAGAGUCUUGUAGAGGGGGGUAGAAUUCCAGGUGUAGCGGUGAAAUGCGUAGAGAUCUGGAGGAAUACCGGUGGCGAAGGCGGCCCCCUGGACAAAGACUGACGCUCAGGUGCGAAAGCGUGGGGAGCAAACA